UACAUGAUACUCUCCCGUUCGGCGUGUGUGAUACAUACACUUCACAGGGCAAGGAGGCUCAAUCCAGGCUCCGACCAGUUUCAGAAAUAAGUCUGAGCAGCUUUGUCCUGUGAGAAACCCAUUUCAUCAUCAGCAGCAUGUCUUGGAAGGCAAGAAGCUAUCAGUAUUGCUGCCAUCCUUGGCAUCCCAUGUACACUAAAAGAAAAAAUCUGCAAUAUGUUGAUUCUGGGUGAUGAAGAUGGGGGGACAGCUUGGCCUGUCAUUGAGGGUAAUGACAACAGACUUGAGGACUGCACUUCAUUUGACGUGAUCAUUGAUGGGUUGGCUGUCAGCAGCUCCACUUGUCUCCUGACAUCGGUGAAAGUGUAUUUAGCCAGCUUUUAUGUUUUCAAUUUGGCUUAUCCCACAUGCCUCAGGAAAA